CAUAGCCGUCGGUAGGUGAGGCUACCGCAGGGAUACGGGUUGCUGCCGCAGAGUCGUGGAGACACGAUGAGAGGGCCAACAGUUCACGUCGAAAAACAAGGCGUGAAAUAGUGCAACAACAUCGCCCUGCGGAGCUAAAGCUUGAACGAUAGCUUGUA
rnacentral:sRNA from 18 species